AUGGAGGCGGAGGGAAUGGAGUUCCUGCUCGACGCAGUGGACAGAUUUCCCGUACGGGAAGAAUUUGCUGACAGCCUUGAGCAACCAGAUCUAGUGUCGCUCCUCUAUCUGCUGCAGAAUGGGGGUGCAACUGAAGGUCGCGUUGAGGCCAAUGGGGAAUCUGGGCUAGCUCAGGUGGAUGUCGAGGGCGUAGCUGCAGACCGACCACAUGGUGAACGUCGUCCCCAUGCUGAAUCUCCGAUGAGGUCUGCUCAGUCAACUGACAGGGUGAAUCCGCAAGCCCCCGGGUGGACAAAAAGGCUGCGUCUCGGAAGCGCGCCACCCGACCGAGUCCCAUGCCCUUCGAGGAUGAGUGCUCUAGAGAUUUCUAUACGCAAAUAUGCGGAGCAGCCUGACAAGAGUGUGGUUUGGCCUGAGCUGGGGCUCAGUUUCGAUUCGCUUGGCGAGGCAUAUGACUUCUACAACCUAUAUUCUUGGGAAGUCGGUUUCGGAAUAAGAUAUGGAAAGAGCAGACUCAACGCCGAGCGAACGAAAACCAUGCAGGAAAUUGUUUGUGGUUGCUCGGGGAAACCUGAAUCUGAAAACAGCAGGUCCUGCAGAUGUGAGUGCCCUGCUCUGAUCAGGCUUCUGCGUGCAUCGGACAACAGCUGGUACAUAACAGAGCAUCGAGCGAGUCACAGCCAUUCGAUGUCUCUGACAAUGGGAGAGAAGGUGCACUGGCCUUCUCAUAAGCACAUUGAUGUAUACACCAAGGAUUUGAUAAAGCAACUAAGGGAGAACAAUGUUAACCUUGGGAAGGUUUACAACAUUAUUGGGAGCUUCUUUGGGUCACUCGAGAAGGUACCUUUCACAAAAAGGACGCUAAGAAACAUUUGUGGGAAGAUUAGCCGUGAGCAAGCUGAGGAUGAUGUCCGAAAAACACUUCAAGCAUUUGCUGACAUCCAGGCCAACGAUCCAGGAUUUACGUAUGUAGUGUUGGCAGAGAAAGAUAGUAAGAUUAGGAACCUCAUGUGGGCUAAUGGCAGCAGCCGGAUGCAAUACAAAUUCUUUGGUGAUGUAGUUACAUUCGACACGAUGUACAGGACCAACCUGUACGAUAUGCCAUUUGUGCUAUUUGUCGGAGUUAACAACCAUUACCAGAGCAUCAUGGCAGGGGUUUUGAUGCGCGACGAACAAGAAGAGAGCUUCAAAUGGGUGUUCGAGGAAUUUGUCGGGAUGAUGGGCGGGCCAGCGCCGAAGACAAUACUCACAGAUCAGUGCAGAGCUAUGGAGGUUGCAAUCAAGAAAACUUAUCCUGAUACAGUACAUCGUUGGUGCAAAUGGCAUGUCCUAAAAAAGGCGAAGGAAACACUAGGACCACUGUACAACAAGAAGGGUGACUUCCAGGCUGAAUUUCACAAAGUUGUGAACCACAUGCUAACUGAGGAAGAGUUUGAAUCAGCCUGGGCAGCUCUCCUCGACAAGUACAAUUUGAGGAAUCAUAACUACAUGACCCAAAUUUAUGAAACCAGAAGGAAAUGGGCGAAACCAUAUUUCCGGGGUGUUUUCUGUGCAAAAAUGACAAGCACCCAAAGAAGCGAGAGCGCAAACCACAUGCUGAAAUCAUACAUGCCACCAGCCAGCCCAACGCAUGUUUUCGUCCGGCAAUACAUGAAACUGCAGUUUGAUCGAGAACGGGACGAAAGCUACGAGGAGAAGAGGACUAUGAUUGGCGGUGCUGUUAGAUGUACUAACCUUGCUAUAGAGCUUCAUGCCAGCAAGGUUUAUACAAGGAGCAUGUUUGAGGAAUUUGGGCGACUACGUAUCGAAGCAACAUCAUACAAUGUUACUGAGGUGGAGAAGAUGAGGAAGUACAUCACCACUCACAACAAUGCGGCGAAAAGAGAGAAGUGGAGCAGAGUUGAAUAUGAGGUUACCAUUAACGACGACAAAUCAAUAUUCACCUGCGAGUGCGGCCAGUUUGAGCACACGGGCAUGCUGUGCAGCCAUGCCUUGUGGGUUAUGGAAAUUCUGCAUCUAGAAGAAAUCCCUAAAUACCACGUCGUAAAACGGUGGACAAAGGACGCAAGAGACAUACUACCAGGUCACCUAGUCCAGUACCAGAGAGACAAUUCACAGAACAUGUCGUUCACUUGUAGGCAUGCGACACUAUACUUCAAAGCCAUGGAAGUCGUGCGGAUGGGGGACGCAAGUGCUGCAUGCUACGAGCAUGUCAACGCUGCCCUUGAUUCGGUGAUUCGGAGUGCAGCGCCUUUGGCAGAGAAACGUGAUGGACUGGCUUUCGAGGAUCGCGUGAUUCCAACGGCUGAUGUCAGGAUAUCUGCCAGCGGCGAGCAAGCAAAUGCUGAUCGAGAGGCCGACCAUUGCGCAAGUGCCGGAAAUUCAUUCAGCACGAAUGCCAUGCAGUGCCUCACAGCACCAUAG
rnacentral:rRNA from 1 species